UUGAGUCAAUUCCAUUGUUUUUUAAGAAUUUAAAGUUAUGGGCGUGAUGAUCCUUUGUUAGGAACGUUUUGGCAAGACUGGAGACUGCUUAUCUGAGUCGGAAUCCCACUGCAAAAUCAUUUUGGAGCUUAUUCGAUCAGUUCAUGUUGAUACAAAUUUCUCUUGAUCGUAAUGCAUUUGGAACUUUUGGAAAACCUGCGGCUGGGAGCUGAUUGUUCUCGAUCAAGUCCAGUGCUGAACCCCCAAAUGGAUUGCAAGGAUCAAAGGUUAAGGUUUAUUUUUUUGUUAUCGUUGGUUAGAGUUUUUGUCUUUUUUUUUCUGCUUUGAGUUAAUUUCAUUGUUUUUGAAGAAUUUAAAGUUGUGGGUUGUGCUGAUUCUUUCUUAGGAACGUUUUGGAAAACCUGGAAACUGCAAAUCUGAGACGAAAUUCUACUCAAAAUCCGUUUUGGAGCUUGUUCUAUCUGUUCAUGGUGAAUCAAGUCCGUUUUGUUCUGCUUGCACUUUCAUUUUGAAUUUUUGCAUAUUUUUUAUUCUUUUCGAUGUAUAUUGUUUUCUAAUGGGCAUUUAGUGUGCAAUGUCUUUCUUUUAAGUCAUUGGUUACUUUGUAAAGAGAAAAAAAAGUGAAUUAUGUCCUUGUUCUACUCUUUCUACAACAUUUACAUAAAAAAGCAAAAAAACUGCUAAAACAGGCAAAUCAAACUUCCUUAAGCAUUCAAUUGGCCAUUUAGUCUUUUGGGAUUUAA